GCCUAGUUAGCUUGGGUGGUAGAGCGUCUGCCUUGUAAGCGCUAGACCGCGGGUUCGAUUCCCGCCCGGGGCG
rnacentral:tRNA from 1 species